rnacentral:rRNA from 1 species
GACGAAGGUGGCAAGCGUUGUUCGGAUUCACUGGGCAUAAAGGGCGCGUAGGCGGUUCCGAAAGUGGCCUGUGAAAUCCCCCGGCUCAACCGGGGAAGUGCAGGCCAAACUUCGGUGCUCGAGGCUGGGAGGGGAGACUGGAACUCUCGGUGGAGCGGUGAAAUGCGUAGAUAUCGAGAGGAACACCGGUGGCGAAGGCGAGUCUCUGGUCCAGCUCUGACGCUGAGGCACGAGAAGCGUGGGUAGCAAACAGG